rnacentral:misc_RNA from 1 species
GAUGAAGAACGUAGCGAAAUGCGAUAAGUAGUGUGAAUUGCAGAAUUCAGUGAAUCAUCGAAUCUUUGAACGCACAUUGCGCCCUUUGGUAUUCCAAAGGGCAUGCCUGUUCGAGCGUCAUUUGUACCCUCAAGCUUUGCUUGGUGUUGGGCGUCUUGUCUCUAGCUUUGCUGGAGACUCGCCUUAAAGUAAUUGGCAGCCGGCCUACGGGUUUCGGAGCGCAGCACAAGUCGCACUCUCUAUCAGCAAAGGUCUAGCAUCCAUUAAGCCUUUUUUUCAACUUUUGACCUCGGAUCAGGUAGGGAUACCCGCUGAACUUAAGCAUAUCAAUAAGCGGAGGA